rnacentral:lncRNA from 1 species
AGCAAAGCCCAGUCAGAUGGUGUCCAGUAAUUUCUGAACACAUUGAAAGUAAGACCCAAAGCUCACGCCUAGCCUGUACCCCCUAUUUCUUUGGGCAGAGGUUGUGCCUUAGGUCUUUUGCAUUUGUUAUUCUUUCUUGGACCUUUCCCCCCACAAUUUAAUUUGUAUGCCAUAUUGACUCAGUUUUAGUAUGAGUUAAGGUGUUGACUGUUUGGAGUGGUCUUCCUAUUUAUCAUAGUUUUUUCUUCUGAAAUAGCCAUAUACACCAUCCUUAAUUAAUUUUAUUAUGUGAUAUUUCUCGCUCAUACAUCAGUGAUAUAUGUUUACAUAUUUACCAUUUUCACCAUUGAAUGUUUGUUUCAUGAGGUUGGGGGCUUGUAUUCAUUAUUGUUUCUAGUGCUUAAGAUGAUAGUUAGUAUAUAGUAAGUAUUCCCUAGAUGCUUGUGGAAUGAGUAAAUGAAUGGGUCCCAAAUCUCAGUUGUGGUGUAGAGGAGAGCACCACCCAUUGAAAGGUUUCUAUUCAAUUCAAAACUUACUUAAGUUUAAUUAUUUAUUUAGUACCAAGUAGAUUGCAUGACAUUGUAGAUUCAAAGGC